CGAGCGAACUGAUUAGAAGCUUGCUUCUAUGACGUUAGCGGCGGACGGGUGAGUAACACGUGGGCAACCUGCCUGUAAGACUGGGAUAACUUCGGGAAACCGAAGCUAAUACCGGAUAGGAUCUUCUCCUUCAUGGGAGAUGAUUGAAAGAUGGUUUCGGCUAUCACUUACAGAUGGGCCCGCGGUGCAUUAGCUAGUUGGUGAGGUAACGGCUCACCAAGGCAACGAUGCAUAGCCGACCUGAGAGGGUGAUCGGCCACACUGGGACUGAGACACGGCCCAGACUCCUACGGGAGGCAGCAGUAGGGAAUCUUCCGCAAUGGACGAAAGUCUGACGGAGCAACGCCGCGUGAGUGAUGAAGGCUUUCGGGUCGUAAAACUCUGUUGUUAGGGAAGAACAAGUACGAGAGUAACUGCUCGUACCUUGACGGUACCUAACCAGAAAGCCACGGCUAACUACGUGCCAGCAGCCGCGGUAAUACGUAGGUGGCAAGCGUUAUCCGGAAUUAUUGGGCGUAAAGCGCGCGCAGGCGGUUUCUUAAGUCUGAUGUGAAAGCCCACGGCUCAACCGUGGAGGGUCAUUGGAAACUGGGGAACUUGAGUGCAGAAGAGAAAAGCGGAAUUCCACGUGUAGCGGUGAAAUGCGUAGAGAUGUGGAGGAACACCAGUGGCGAAGGCGGCUUUUUGGUCUGUAACUGACGCUGAGGCGCGAAACCGUGGGGAGCACACAGGAUUAGAUACUCUGGUAGUCCACGCCGUACACGAUGAGUGCUAAGUGUUACAGGGUUUCCGCCCUUUAGUGCUGCAGCUAACGCAUUAAGCACUCCGCCUGGGGAGUACGGUCGCAAGACUGAAACUCACACGAAUUGACGGAGGCCCGCACAAUCAGUGGAGCAUGUGGUUUAUUUCGAGGCAACGCUAAGAACCUUACCAUGUCGUGACAUCCUCUGACAACUCUAAAGAUAGAGCGUUCCCCUUCCGGGGACAGAAUGACAUGUGGUGCAUGGUUGUCGUCAGCUCCAGUCGUGAGAUGUUGGGUUUAGUCCUCCACCAACGCAACCUUGAUCUUAGUUGCC
rnacentral:rRNA from 1 species